GACGAACGCUGGCGGCGUGCUUAACACAUGCAAGUCGAGCGGUAAGGCCUUUCGGGGUACACGAGCGGCGAACGGGUGAGUAACACGUGGGUGAUCUGCCCUGCACCUCGGGAUAAGCCUGGGAAACUGGGUCUAAUACCGGAUAUGACCUCCUAUCGCAUGGUGGGUGGUGGAAAGAUUUAUCGGUGCAGGAUGGGCCCGCGGCUUAUCAGCUUGUUGGUGGGGUAAUGGCCUACCAAGGCGACGACGGGUAGCCGACCUGAGAGGGUGACCGGCCACACUGGGACUGAGACACGGCCCAGACUCCUACGGGAGGCAGCAGUGGGGAAUAUUGCACAAUGGGCGAAAGCCUGAUGCAGCGACGCCGCGUGAGGGAUGACGGCCUUCGGGUUGUAAACCUCUUUCAGCAGGGACGAAGCGCAAGUGACGGUACCUGCAGAAGAAGCACCGGCUAACUACGUG
rnacentral:rRNA from 1 species